rnacentral:rRNA from 1 species
AACGAACGCUGGCGGCAGGCUUAACACAUGCAAGUCGAGCGCCCCGCAAGGGGAGCGGCAGACGGGUGAGUAACGCGUGGGAACGUACCCUUUGCUACGGAAUAGCUCCGGGAAACUGGAAUUAAUACCGGAUGUGCCCUACGGGGGAAAGAUUUAUCGGCAAAGGAUCGGCCCGCGGUGGAUUAGCUAGUUGGUGGGGUAAUGGCCUACCAAGGCGACGAUCCAUAGCUGGUCUGAGAGGAUGAUCAGCCACAUUGGGACUGAGACACGGCCCAAACUCCUACGGGAGGCAGCAGUGGGGAAUAUUGGACAAUGGGCGCAAGCCUGAUCCAGCCAUGCCGCGUGAGUGAUGAAGGCCUUAGGGUUGUAAAGCUCUUUCACCGGAGAAGAUAAUGACGGUAUCCGGAGAAGAAGCCCCGGCUAACUUCGUGCCAGCCGCCGCGGUAAUAC